ACACAUGCAGUCGAGGGGCAGCAUGAACUUAGCUUGCUAAGUUUGAUGGCGACCGGCGCACGGGUGAGUAACACGUAUCCAACCUGCCGAUGACUCGGGGAUAGCCUUUCGAAAGAAAGAUUAAUACCCGAUGGCAUAGUCCUUCCGCAUGGUAGAACUAUUAAAGAAUUUCGGUCAUCGAUGGGGAUGCGUUCCAUUAGGUUGUUGGCGGGGUAACGGCCCACCAAGCCUUCGAUGGAUAGGGGUUCUGAAAGGAAGGUCCCCCACAUUGGAACUGCGACACGGUCCAAACUCCUACGGGAGGCAGCAGUGAGGAAUAUUGGUCAAUGGACGAGAGUCUGAACCAGCCAAGUAGCGUGAAGGAUGACUGCCCUAUGGGUUGUAAACUUCUUUUAUACGGGAAUAAAGUGAGGCACGUGUGCCUUUUUGUAUGUACCGUAUGAAUAAGGAUCGGCUAACUCCGUGCCAGCAGCCGCGGUAAUACGGAGGAUCCGAGCGUUAUCCGGAUUUAUUGGGUUUAAAGGGAGCGUAGGCGGACGCUUAAGUCAGUUGUGAAAGUUUGCGGCUCAACCGUAAAAUUGCAGUUGAUAUUGGGUGUCUUGAGUACAGUAGAGGCAGGCGGAAUUCGUGGUGUAGCGGUGAAAUGCUUAGAUAUCACGAAGAACUCCGAUUGCGAAGGCAGCCUGCUGGACUGUAACUGACGCUGAUGCUCGAAAGUGUGGGUAUCAAACAGGAUUAGAUACCCUGGUAGUCCACACAGUAAACGAUGAAUACUCGCUGUUUGCGAUAUACAGUAAGCGGGCCAAGCGAAAGCGUUAAGUAUUCCACCUGGGGAGUACGCCGGCAACGGUGAAACUCAAAGGAAUUGACGGGGGCCCGCAC
rnacentral:rRNA from 1 species